rnacentral:rRNA from 1 species
CAGGGAAUCUUGCGCAAUGGGCGAAAGCCUGACGCAGCGACACCGCGUGGGGGAUGAAGGCUUUCGAGUUGUAAACCCCUUUUCCCGGGGAUGAGAAAGGACAGUACCCGGGGAAUAAGGUUCGGCUAACUACGUGCCAGCAGCCGCGGUAAUACGUAGGAACCGAGCGUUGUCCGGAUUUACUGGGCGUAAAGUGCGCGUAGGCGGUCUGUUAAGUCUCAUGUGAAAUCUCCCGGCUCAACUGGGAGGGGUCAUGGGAUACUGGCAGACUGGAGUGCAGUAGAGGAGAGCGGAAUUCCCGGAGUAGUGGUGGAAUGCGUAGAUACCGGGAGGAACACCAGAGGCGAAGGCGGCUCUCUGGGCUGUAACUGACGCUGAGGCGCGAAAGCGUGGGUAGCAAACCGGAUUAGAUACCCCCGUAGUCC